GAGACGGAGUCUCGCUCUGUCGCCCAGGCUGGAGUGCAGUGGCGCUAUCUCGGCUCACUGCAAGCUCUGCCUCCCAGGUUUACGCCGUUCUCCUGCCUCAGCCUCCCGAGUAGCUGGGACUACAGGAGUCUGAGGUGGGAGGAUCACCAGAGCCCAGGGAGGUAAAAGCUGCAGUGAGCCGUGAUUGCACCACUGCACUCCAGCCUGGGAGUGAGACAUUGCCUCCCUCACCCCAUCCCCUCCCCCUAAAAAAGAACAGAACAUGUCAAAGAGAAGCCAGUACAACAUAUCAAAUAUUAAGAAUAUAGUUAAGAGUUUCAAGAAAGAAUGCUCAUACCUAUCAUUCACCAAACUCUAAUAAGCCUAUUAUAUAAUAAGAUGCCACAAUAAACACUGUGUUACUUAGAUUCAAAUACAGACAUCUCACCAAUCUCCUUUGAUUUUUGAUUCUGAAACUGAGUGUCCUCAGGCUCAUAUUCUAGCUACUGAGCCCAUCUGGCCUUAAGGGUAAGCCACAUCGUGCUUAAAAGACACAGCCAAAGAGAGAAUGAACAAACAGAAAAGAGAUAGAAGAGACUUAUCCCAAAUCAGGUGAUUUGUUUUCAAUUUUAUCACCACAAAAUUUUCUUGCAUUUUUCUCAAAGUUUCUCUUAUUUUAUAAACACCUUAAAAUAACUGUUCACAGUAUUUACUUGACAAGUUUUACUUCUGUUCUUAUAGCCGUUAACACAGCAUACUUAAACUAAAUAAAACCUUUUAAAUUAUGUUUCAUCUUUAUUGCUACUCAACAGACGUUUUUGGCUUUUGCAGUACGCAAGGGUCUUGGUCAUAAUUACCAAUGAUCACUCUGUAGAGGACUGUAAAUGAAAUCCACGUAUUUGAAUAUUUGAAUUUGGAGGUGCUUAGUUUUUAGAUAAAGACUAAAGCCAACUGUAUGUACUUUUGGAUCCGCUCAAUUGCUUCCUUUUAGUACUCUGUUAUGACAAUGUAUUUCCAAUUAAGCCCUAGAUUCAGAGAAACUUUAAUGCACUGAUCAAUAUUCACAUUCCUGAAGAAACAGGUGCCUAAUCACAUCUGAAAGUAGCCAAAGUUUCCAUUUUGUAUAACAAAGGCUCUAUUAAUAAAAUAAUUCUAAAAACGAUUCCUGUAUAACUAGACUACCUUAGCCAUUUAGUACAUUAAUUUGUUACUCAUUAAAUACUUAAAAUUUCUUAGUAUAUUAAUUCACUCAAAGAAACUGGAUGUACCAACAUUUAAGAUAAAUUUUUAUGAGCAUGCACAAACUCACUUUUGCUUUUGAGUGGAUU
rnacentral:lncRNA from 1 species